GCAGUCGGACGGUCUGUCGCUGGCAGCAUCUCUAAGGUGCUGAAAGAGGAAAGUCCGGGCAGCACAGGGCAUCCCACUUCCUAAUAUAGAAGCAGUCCGCGAGGGCUGAGUAAUGCAGAAGAAAAUAACAACAGACGCGGCUUUAGCGCCCAAUCCUUUGGAAUGAGCGAUGCUGCCACGGCUGAAAUGGUGAGAAGGUGAGGUAAGGGCUCACCAGCGGCAUGGCGACAUGUCGGCUGUGCAUCUUGGGAGCUGCAAGUUCAUGUAAACCACCGCCACGAGGGUUGCCCGCCCGAUUGUUCGGUGGAGGGUAGAACGCUUGAGCCAUGGGGUGACUCAUGGAGUAGAUAAAUGACAGGCACGCACUGCGAAAUGGGGAACACAUCCCUUUCGUUGGAUGGUGCGCACAAAACCCGGCUUAUAGUCCGACUGCUUUU
rnacentral:RNase_P_RNA from 1 species